UAAAUGAUAAUGAGUACUGGUUUGGGGUUUGGCUUGAAGCCUGAAACUUAAUUGAACUGAUUGUAUUUGCCCACCUAUCUACAGUGGCUGAAGAUGAUGCUUACUUGGUCAAGAAAAUUGGCCAGAGUUUCCAGUAUUCUAAAAUAGAGGCAAGAAGGGAGGAACAAAUCCAAGCUGCUCAUGACGAAGCCAUGUUUGGUGCUUCAGCACUUCCACCUCCUACCAGUACUGACAGUGAGCCUGAAAGGGAGAAUGAGAAAAAAGUUGAUAAAAAAGCUGUUGUUACAAGCCUCUUAAGUGAAACGGAGUGCUGAAAUGGUGACCAUAUGCUACCUUGAGGGCUCAAGAAUGUUUUGAUGCAUAGAGACACUAAUCUAUGUUAGAACUUUUAUGUUUUGGUUGAACUUUUAUGUUAGAACUUUUAUGUUUUGGUUGAACUAAUCAAUGUACUCACUAGCUAAUGUUAUUUUGCUUCAAGACAAUUUUAGCUAAAAGGAUCUUGUUUGAUUUAUGUAUGUUUUUGCAUAUUAUAUACAUGUAAACUUGCUUAUUAAAA